AGCUUUGCGCAAUGGCAGUAUCGUAGCCAAUGAGGUUUAUCCAAGGUGCAAUUAUUGCUAAUUGAAAACUUUUCCUAAAAACAG
rnacentral:snRNA from 1 species